rnacentral:rRNA from 1 species
UACGGAGGAUGCGAGCGUUAUCCGGAUUUAAUGGGUUUAAAGGGUGCGCAGGCGGCACGGCAAGCCGGCGGUCAAAUCGCGGGGCUCAACCCCGCCCAGCCGUCGGAACUGCCGGGCUAGAGUGGGCGAGAAGUGCGCGGAAUGCGUGGUGUAGCGGUGAAAUGCAUAGACAUCACGCAGAACUCCGAUUGCGAAGGCAGCGCACCGGCGCCCUACUGACGCUCAGGCACGAAAGCGUGGGUAUCGAACAGG